CCUACGGGAGGCAGCAGUGGGGAAUAUUGCGCAAUGGGCGAAAGCCUGAAGCAGCGACGCCGCGUGGGGGAUGAAGGUUUUCGGAUUGUAAACCUCUGUCAGCAGGGAAGAAAGUGCAGGUAGCUAAUCAGCAGUGAAUUGACGGUACCGUCAAAGAAAGCACCGGAUAACUCCGGGCCAGCAGCUGCGGUAAUACGGAGGGUGCUAGAGAUAAUCGGAAUGGCUGGGCGUAAAGCGCGCGUAGGCGGUAUGUCAAGUCAAGGGUGAAAUCCCGGGGCUCAACGUCGGAACUGCCUUCGAAACUGGUAAGCUGGAGUGUGGGAGAGGAUAGUGGAAUUCCAGGUGUAGGGGUGAAAUCCGUAGAUAUCUGGAGGAACA
rnacentral:rRNA from 1 species